CGGGCCUUGUACACACCGCCCGUCACACCAUGGAAGUUGGCCAUGCCCGAAGUCGUUACUCCAACCCUUGUGGAGGAGGACGCCGAAGGUGGGGCUAAUGACUGGGGUGAAGUCGUAACAAGGUAGCCGUACCGGAAGGUGCGGCUGGAUCACCUCCUAA
rnacentral:rRNA from 1 species